AUGAACGCUGGCGGCGUGCCUAAUACAUGCAAGUCGAGCGAAUGGAUUAAGAGCUUGCUCUUAUGAAGUUAGCGGCGGACGGGUGAGUAACACGUGGGUAACCUGCCCAUAAGACUGGGAUAACUCCGGGAAACCGGGGCUAAUACCGGAUAACAUUUUGAAUCGCAUGGUUCGAAAUUGAAAGGCGGCUUCGGCUGUCACUUAUGGAUGGACCCGCGUCGCAUUAGCUAGUUGGUGAGGUAACGGCUCACCAAGGCAACGAUGCGUAGCCGACCUGAGAGGGUGAUCGGCCACACUGGGACUGAGACACGGCCCAGACUCCUACGGGAGGCAGCAGUAGGGAAUCUUCCGCAAUGGACGAAAGUCUGACGGAGCAACGCCGCGUGAGUGAUGAAGGCUUUCGGGUCGUAAAACUCUGUUGUUAGGGAAGAACAAGUGCUAGUUGAAUAAGCUGGCACCUUGACGGUACCUAACCAGAAAGCCACGGCUAACUACGUG
rnacentral:rRNA from 1 species